UUCUGAGAGUGUUUAGCAGAGGCCCAAACUUCAUAGGGUUUCUUCCCUUUGCUUUAGGAGUUGCAGAGCACUGCAGCCGUCAACAUCGGUUCGUCGGUUCAAACUACACCGCCUCCGAGACACCUUCAUGUAACAGCGGAAGAGCACGACUUAUGCAAUUCAUGUGAGGAUGUUUGUCACAGAUAUAGAAAGAAACGUUGGGGUAUUACAAAUCCAGUUUUGAUUGACUAAGUGGGGUGCUGAUACAGGCUCAUGCAAUCUUCAAUCUUCUUGAAGUAUGUGGACAAGUCUGUGAUUGAUACGACAUAUUGAACAUGUGCAUGAAUUAGAUCACUAUCUAAAUCUGAGAGUGGAGGUGACAAACGCGGCGAAUCAUUGGAAAUAAUGCGAGAGGGAAGUAAGAAAGCAACACUGCAGCUGGGGGACAUAUUACAAUACUGUUGAUUUCUUCAUGAAUCUUCUCCAGCUCUGAGAAUGUCUGGUGUUACCGGAACCGAAAAGAUCUUUAAUUAGGUUGUGUGAUUUUAAGAGAUCAUCUACCUUGGAAGACAUCAUACCGUGUUGUUCUAUUAAAACAUCACAAAGUUUUAUCUGCCGACUCUUUGAGGAAUUCAAGUAACAAAAAACAUGGGUGAUUUUUCAAAAUGAUGAAAGCUUUGAGAGCUAUUGCUUUCUAAACGAAA